UUAAGUUAUUAAGGGCGCACGGUGGAUGCCUUGGCACUAGAAGCCGAUGAAGGACGUUACUAACGACGAUAUGCUUUGGGGAGCUGUAAGUAAGCUUUGAUCCAGAGAUUUCCGAAUGGGGAAACCCAGCAUGAGUUAUGUCAUGUUAUCGAUAUGUGAAUACAUAGCAUAUCAGAAGGCACACCCGGAGAACUGAAACAUCUUAGUACCCGGAGGAAGAGAAAGAAAAUUCGAUUCCCUUAGUAGCGGCGAGCGAAACGGGAAGAGCCCAAACCAACAAGCUUGCUUGUUGGGGUUGUAGGACACUCUAUACGGAGUUACAAAGGACGACAUUAGACGAAUCAUCUGGAAAGAUGAAUCAAAGAAGGUAAUAAUCCUGUAGUCGAAAAUGUUGUCUCUCUUGAGUGGAUCCUGAGUACGACGGAGCACGUGAAAUUCCGUUGGAAUCUGGGAGGACCAUCUCCUAAGGCUAAAUACUCUCUAGUGACCGAUAGUGAACCAGUACCGUGAGGGAAAGGUGAAAAGCACCCCGGAAGGGGAGUGAAAUAGAACCUGAAACCGUGUGCUUACAAGUAGUCAGAGCCCGUUAAUGGGUGAUGGCGUGCCUUUUGUAGAAUGAACCGGCGAGUUACGAUUUGAUGCAAGGUUAAGCAGUAAAUGUGGAGCCGUAGCGAAAGCGAGUCUGAAUAGGGCGUUUAGUAUUUGGUCGUAGACCCGAAACCAGGUGAUCUACCCUUGGUCAGGUUGAAGUUCAGGUAACACUGAAUGGAGGACCGAACCGACUUACGUUGAAAAGUGAGCGGAUGAACUGAGGGUAGCGGAGAAAUUCCAAUCGAACCUGGAGAUAGCUGGUUCUCUCCGAAAUAGCUUUAGGGCUAGCCUCAAGUGAUGAUUAUUGGAGGUAGAGCACUGUUUGGACGAGGGGCCCCUCUCGGGUUACCGAAUUCAGACAAACUCCGAAUGCCAAUUAAUUUAACUUGGGAGUCAGAACAUGGGUGAUAAGGUCCGUGUUCGAAAGGGAAACAGCCCAGACCACCAGCUAAGGUCCCAAAAUAUAUGUUAAGUGGAAAAGGAUGUGGCGUUGCCCAGACAACUAGGAUGUUGGCUUAGAAGCAGCCAUCAUUUAAAGAGUGCGUAAUAGCUCACUAGUCGAGUGACACUGCGCCGAAAAUGUACCGGGGCUAAACAUAUUACCGAAGCUGUGGAUUGUCCUUUGGACAAUGGUAGGAGAGCGUUCUAAGGGCGUUGAAGCAUGAUCGUAAGGACAUGUGGAGCGCUUAGAAGUGAGAAUGCCGGUGUGAGUAGCGAAAGACGGGUGAGAAUCCCGUCCACCGAUUGACUAAGGUUUCCAGAGGAAGGCUCGUCCGCUCUGGGUUAGUCGGGUCCUAAGCUGAGGCCGACAGGCGUAGGCGAUGGAUAACAGGUUGAUAUUCCUGUACCACCUAUAAUCGUUUUAAUCGAUGGGGGGACGCAGUAGGAUAGGCGAAGCGUGCGAUUGGAUUGCACGUCUAAGCAGUAAGGCUGAGUAUUAGGCAAAUCCGGUACUCAUUAAGGCUGAGCUGUGAUGGGGAGAAGACAUUGUGUCUUCGAGUCGUUGAUUUCACACUGCCGAGAAAAGCCUCUAGAUAGAAAAUAGGUGCCCGUACCGCAAACCGACACAGGUAGUCAAGAUGAGAAUUCUAAGGUGAGCGAGCGAACUCUCGUUAAGGAACUCGGCAAAAUGACCCCGUAACUUCGGGAGAAGGGGUGCUCUUUAGGGUUAACGCCCAGAAGAGCCGCAGUGAAUAGGCCCAAGCGACUGUUUAUCAAAAACACAGGUCUCUGCUAAACCGUAAGGUGAUGUAUAGGGGCUGACGCCUGCCCGGUGCUGGAAGGUUAAGAGGAGUGGUUAGCUUCUGCGAAGCUACGAAUCGAAGCCCCAGUAAACGGCGGCCGUAACUAUAACGGUCCUAAGGUAGCGAAAUUCCUUGUCGGGUAAGUUCCGACCCGCACGAAAGGCGUAACGAUUUGGGCACUGUCUCAACGAGAGACUCGGUGAAAUCAUAGUACCUGUGAAGAUGCAGGUUACCCGCGACAGGACGGAAAGACCCCGUGGAGCUUUACUGUAGCCUGAUAUUGAAAUUCGGCACAGCUUGUACAGGAUAGGUAGGAGCCUUUGAAACGUGAGCGCUAGCUUACGUGGAGGCGCUGGUGGGAUACUACCCUAGCUGUGUUGGCUUUCUAACCCGCACCACUUAUCGUGGUGGGAGACAGUGUCAGGCGGGCAGUUUGACUGGGGCGGUCGCCUCCUAAAAGGUAACGGAGGCGCUCAAAGGUUCCCUCAGAAUGGUUGGAAAUCAUUCAUAGAGUGCAAAGGCAUAAGGGAGCUUGACUGCGAGACCUACAAGUCGAGCAGGGUCGAAAGACGGACUUAGUGAUCCGGUGGUUCCGCAUGGAAGGGCCAUCG
rnacentral:rRNA from 1 species